rnacentral:rRNA from 1 species
GGAAUAUUGCUCAAUGGGGGAAACCCUGAAGCAGCAACGCCGCGUGGAGGAUGACACUUUUCGGAGCGUAAACUCCUUUUGUUAGGGAAGAACACUGACGGUACCUAACGAAUAAGCACCGGCUAACUCCGUGCCAGCAGCCGCGGUAAUACGGAGGGUGCAAGCGUUACUCGGAAUCACUGGGCGUAAAGGACGCGUAGGCGGAUUAUCAAGUCUCUUGUGAAAUCUAACGGCUUAACCGUUAAACUGCUUGGGAAACUGGUAAUCUAGAGUAAGGGAGAGGUAGAUGGAAUUCUUGGUGUAGGGGUAAAAUCCGUAGAGAUCAAGAAGAAUACCCAUUGCGAAGGCGAUCUACUGGAACUUAACUGACGCUAAUGCGUGAAAGCGUGGGGAGCAAACA